ACGGGGAGUCAGGCAGUGGUGGA
rnacentral:miRNA from 1 species